AGUAGAGCGGCGCACGGGUGAGUAACGCGUGGGUAACCUACCUUCGGGCGGGGGAUAACCACUCGAAAGGGUGGCUAAUACCGCAUGAGACCACGGGGUCCUCGGGCCCCGGGGCCAAAGGCGGCACCGGCUUGCCGGUGCUGUCACCUGAAGAUGGGCCCGCGUACGAUUAGCUAGUUGGUAGGGUAACGGCCUACCAAGGCUGCGAUCGUUAGCUGGUCUGAGAGGAUGGCCAGCCACACUGGAACUGGAACACGGUCCAGACUCCUACGGGAGGCAGCAGUGAGGAAUAUUGCGCAAUGGGGGAAACCCUGACGCAGCAACGCCGCGUGGGUGAAGAAGGCCUUCGGGUCGUAAAGCCCUUUCGGACGGGACGAACGCUCCGCGGGGAUAAUCCGCGGAGUCUGACGGUACGUANGAAGAAACACCGGCUAACUCCGUGCCAGCAGCCGCGGUAAUACGGAGGGUGCAAGCGU
rnacentral:rRNA from 1 species